rnacentral:rRNA from 1 species
GGGAAAUUGGGAACAUGGGGGGCACCCUGAUCCAGCCAUGCCGCGUGUGUGAAGAAGGCCUUUUGGUUGUAAAGCACUUUAAGCAGUGAAGAAGACUCCAUGGUUAAUACCCAUGGACGAUGACAUUAGCUGCAGAAUAAGCACCGGCUAACUCUGUGCCAGCAGCCGCGGCAAUACAGAGGGUGCAAGCGUUAAUCGGAAUUACUGGGCGUAAAGCGAGCGUAGGUGGCUUGAUAAGUCAGAUGUGAAAUCCCCGGGCUUAACCUGGGAACUGCAUCUGAUACUGUUAGGCUAGAAUAGGUGAGAGGAAGGUAGAAUUCCAGGUGUAGCGGUGAAAUGCGUAGAGAUCUGGAGGAAUACCGAUGGCGAAGGCAGCCUUCUGGCAUCAUAUUGACACUGAGGUUCGAAAGCGUGGGUAGCAAACAGGAUUAGAUACCCUGGUAGUCCACGCCGUAAACGAUGUCUACUAGUCGUUGGGUCCCUUGAGGACUUAGUGACGCAGCUAACGCAAUAAGUAGACCGCCUGGGGAGUACGGCCGCAAGGUUAAAACUCAAAUGAAUUGACGGGGGCCCGCACAAGCGGUGGAGCAUGUGGUUUAAUUCGAUGCAACGCGAAGAACCUUACCUGGUCUUGACAUAUCUAGAAUCCUGCAGAGAUGCGGGAGUGCCUUCGGGAAUUAGAAUACAGGUGCUGCAUGGCUGUCGUCAGCUCGUGUCGUGAGAUGUUGGGUUAAGUCCCGCAACGAGCGCAACCCUUGUCCUUAGUUACCAGCGGGUUAAGCCGGGAACUCUAAGGAUACUGCCAGUGACAAACUGGAGGAAGGCGGGGACGACGUCAAGUCAUCAUGGCCCUUACGACCAGGGCUACACACGUGCUACAAUGGUAGGUACAGAGGGCAGCUACACAGCGAUGUGAUGCGAAUCUCAAAAAGCCUAUCGUAGUCCAGAUUGGAGUCUGCAACUCGACUCCAUGAAGUAGGAAUCGCUAGUAAUCGCGGAUCAGAAUGCCGCGGUGAAUACGUUCCCGGGCCUUGCACACACCGCCCGU